UCGAUGACGAAGUAUGCUUGAAAUAGUGGCUCUGGAGCAGCUUUACUAGACUAUUGAGAAACACCCACUGUCUCCGUCCCGUCUCAGUAGCCUACUCCAGACUACCGCUGCUGUGUACGUGUCGCCCGGUUGCUCUGUCCAGACUGUAUGUAACCGCCAACCGGAACACGUCGGUUUGUUGACGGCUCGGUGUCCAGCGGUCAGGAGCUCGCUCGGUGAUUCGACUUCUGAUGCUAGCGGGGAGGCUAGCUGACGGUCUGACACGAACUCAAGCUAACGUCACUGAAGAUCUAAGGAGAGACUCAAUGUGUUUUCGGAGUCUCUGAGAAGUUUGUCUAGCAACAUUGUUAACAUUCUGGAACUGAACCUAAACUCUGAUCUCAACCUACUCACGUGUACUAGCCGGUGCUAACUUGCUCAUAAGCACAUUUGAAGGUAAUGCAACCUUGGCAGCUCCAAAUGUUGCCAGGUUGAACCAAAGACAUGUAGAGGAGAAGCCUGACUUCUAAAUGGCAGGAGGGGUCACCCGUGGUAUUCAGCUGCACUGCCCCAGCACACCCACAGGUGUGUCUGUGGCCUGAGGACAUAUUUGAACAAGUAUUACAACUUCAGCACUGGCAGUUCAUGCAUGCUUUCCCAAUAAGGGAGUCAGAUUAGCUGAGAGUCUCUGCAUCUUAAUUCAACUCCAACAAGCUCUGUGAGAAAGCAUGACAGCUGUGGUGAGCAGAGCGUGGGGGUGGGUGCGCUCCUGGGGGGGCAAGAGUGCUGUGUCAGAGAAUAACACAGAAGUGAGAGGGGGCCAGGAGCAAGGAGUCAGCAAACAGGGCCAGAGGGGCUGGACCUCCUGGAUCUGGGGAGGGUGGAGGAGUGAGAAAAGCAGUCCGGUGGAGGAGUUCUGGGAGGCGCAGGAGAAGCUUCAGCCAAGAGAAGUUGAAGUCCUCAGUGCCAGGCAACAGGUGACCAAUCCAGAGUCUAGAUGGUGGAAUAAGUAUCUCCCAACUUCUUACAUUUCAUGGCCAGAAAAAAGUGAGCCAAGCAGACUGAGACAGAGGAAACGGGAUGGAGGUACGAGUGACGGUGACGGGGAGGGGGACUUCUCCGACUACGGGACGCCUCCUCCCUCUCCCACACCCCCUUCCUCAUCUCCUUUUCGACUCUUUGCUAACAGCUGGAAGGUGGACAUCCUCCCAGAGCACUACGACAUCUGCUUCAACUUCCUGCGCCACCUGUUCGAUCUGUUUGUGGUGGGCUUCCUGUGGACGGUGUCCCCCCCCCACCAAGCUGAUCCUGGAGGUGUUCGGGGUGCAGGGGGCUCUGAGGCUGUGGCUGCACGGCAUGGCCAUGUUUUUCGUGUCUUCGGUGGGAAUGGCAGGGCUACUCUGGCUGAUCCAGGAGUACCUCCCUCAGUUCGCCCUGAUCUACGGCAUCAUCCAGGCGCUGGUGAUCUCCGUCAGCGUGCGACAGAGCGUGAUACUCGGCGGGGAGGAAGAAGAAGAAAAAGAAGAAGAAGUUGAGGAGGAGGAGGACAAGGAGACGGAGGAAAAGAAAGACAGUUUGGAAUGUGAAGGAAAGCUUGUGUCUGUAAAAGACAAAGUGAAGACAAGUUAGAUUUGAGGCUAAGGAGCUGCUGUGUGUCAGCUGAUGAGGACCUCCAGCUGGACCACACACACACACACACACACACACACACUGCUGCCCGGCUUAAUAACUGUAUUGCACCUUCAUUACACUCCUGCCAGUUCUGCUCAUAUCACUUUGUUUAACACUAAUGAACUGUGUGUAUGGAUGUCUGUCCUCACUUGAUCUUAAUGCUGUCACCACAAUAUGGACAUUACAAGGUUGAGUAACCACUACUACAACGCCAUGAAUGUUGAAGCAGCAUGUAGGGUCAAGAAGAGAAAGCAUAUUGAGGAAGUGUUGCAAUUCAUUUAGCUAACAUUUCAUUUCCUGACUUGGGGGACUAUGUUGUUUUCUGAUUCACCCUGAGAGAGUUAGGGACCAGGUUAUUGCCUUUGGUGAAUUUUGAGGGAAUCGACAAAACCAACACAGCCGGAAUGCCUCGGAGAGAAGGAAAGAAAUGUGAAUCACGGUUUUUAGUACGACAGAUAUAAAACUCUUCAGCUUCUAAGAGGUAAACAUUCAAAGUUAUCCAUAUUAAGUGAAUUUGGAAUCAUAAAGGUAUAUCCAGUCGAAGUGCACUUCAAACACUACCUGCUAAAUAUCAUCCCAUCUUUAAUUGAAGCACAGAAAAUAAGCAUGGGUUUCUGUCCCAUCUCCAGCUGGCUCCAACUAACUACCACUAGAAAACAUGGCACAAAGUUGAAAGCAGGUAUGAGAUUGAUUUGAUUGUUUGUACAGAAAUCCUACUACCGGACUACAAACCGCAAUAUUGCUUAUCAGUCUGUGAUUAAGAUGCAUCUAUUUAUGAACCAACCCAUCAGACCUGUGACAUCACAUCCCUGUUUUUGGGGCGGGUUUAUUCAACAGAAGGCUAACAUCCAAAUAUGGAGACGUUCUGAGGAAGCAGUAACUACACCGUAUCCAAGCCAUGAGAAAUGUUGUCUCUUAAAAAUAAAAUAUAUAUAUUUUCACACCGAAGACUAAAUGAAUGGAAUGCGAUGGGAGUCUUUUUUUGAGGAACGAGCAUCUAACAGCCAUAGAGGAACACUCAGCUGUGAGUGCUUCUCUCUACAUAUCAGUAGUGAACCCGGAAAGAGUAACCAAACGUUUUAUGUUAGAAAUGUAAAGUAGGGAUAUAAAGUAGGCACAUAGAAACUGCCGGAAGCUAAUCUGCAUAUGUUGGGCAAUUUGCACAGUUAGCAUAAGUUGCAUUAAUUAGCAUUAUAGCCUAUAAUUUGAUGAAUCCAGUUUUGGAGUGGUUUUGGGGGUUAUUGAGGAUGUUGAAUCAAUUCCUGACAUUUUCAGGUUCCAUAAUGGCAGUUUUAACCAGAAAGUGGCCAUACUUGUACUCCCGGUGGGCUGAUCUUCAUUCAUUUUGGGUCGAUUUGAACCUUUUAGGGGACUCAAAACUUCCAUUUGUUAUCCUUAACAUUUCAGAAAUGGAUUACAUAUUCAAUAUACCUUAACAAAUGCAGAAAUCAGCCAAGCUAUUUAACAGAUAUUGUCUGCAUAUGCUAAUGAAUUCUACUUAUGCUAAUUGUGCAAAUGACCCAACAUAUGUGAGUUAGCCUCCUGCAGUUUCUAUCUGCUACUAUAUUUUUCUACUAUACAUUUCAUAAAACGUACGGGUUCACAGUGCUGGAGAGUAGACUUUAUAAACGUGUUUUGUACUUGAUCUAUGUUCAUAAGAGCUGAUGGAAGACAAGAGACAUUUGUUGAAGACUUGACCGUACAGUGCAUGAUGUACUUGACAUUGAGAAAAGACUCAAUCUGCUCCUUGCUCGUUCCAUGAAUCAGACAUGUGACACAUAACACCAGCAGCACGCAUCCAUGUGUCAUGAUAGUUUGUUGCCUUUGGUUCUUAUCUGUGCCAUGAUGUUUGUUUCAAACUUGACUCAUUCCUAUGUGAUUUCUGGACUUUAAUUGAUGUCAUGCUUUAGAGUUAAAGGUACAACAGUGCACAAUAGCAUGUGACUUGUAUUACACAUUCUCUCUCACAGCAUGUGUGUAUCAUUUGUUAUCCAGAAAGCACCGUUUGUAUCAGAUGGAAGCGUUUGUACACUUAUAUACAAUACAAGUGUAAAAAUCUCAUUGUAUUACAAAGCAGAAGCACUCCCAACAAUACAAAGUGAUUUCCAGUGUGUCCCUAAGCAUAACACCGCAUUACAGUGAACAUUACAUGCUCCCCUUUUAGUUUUGGAAAGGCAAUGUGCAACCUAGAGGCUGGAAGGAAAUGAGAAUCCUGACCCUUUGAAACAAUCGCUCAACAGAAUAUAUAUUUGCAAAUAUUUUUGAUAUUAUUGUUUGAGACUUUUUCAGAAACUAGAGGUGGAGAAAUCAAUAAUGAGAAUACUAGUUGCUGCCCUUUAUUCAAUAGAAUGAUAUUGUUAAUUAAUGAAUGAAUUCAUAUCAAAUGUCUUUCACUAAGAAACUAAAAAUAGGCGUUCCAAAAGCCUGUUGACAGUUAACUUUGCACAUUAUCUGCAACAAUGAAAUAAAAGCAUCCAUUUCACUUCCUUUUGAUUGGAAUGAUGGUUGUGUUGUGCCAAGGAGAGUACUCAGAAGAUCAUUAGGACCCUUUUUAUUUUUUUUAUUUGCUCGGAUCUCAAAAAUAGUUUCACAUGUGGCCCUAAUGCCUUUUCAGUAUUUUACAAACAAAACAAUAGGAUUUCAAAAUUGUAUUUUGCUAAAUGAAAUUUGACCCAUGUGUACAUCUGUGUUGCCUUUAAUUCAUCACAUAUUGCAGUAAUAUGGUGAGGAAAGCUAUUUAGAUAAGAGCAGCGGACACACUGACUGCUGGACCACUGUAUCUGUGCUGUCAUUGAACUAACAAGUGAACUAACUCCUACGCUACACUGAGGCUCAAUAAAUAUUCCCUUUAUUAAACUGUCUGAUUGUAUUUAUCUCCGACACUCUUAUUUUACACACUUUAAAGGUCACCUAUUAUGCAAAAGGCACUUUUUGAUGUCUUUUAUACAUACAUACAUGUCCCCGGUGUGUAAGGAGACUCACUAAGUGUCAGAAAAUAAAACCCUUCCUUACCAUCUCUAAAAACGGGGGUACAGCGGAGCUGAUCCAUGACGACAUCACUCAAAUGUGGGCUGGGUUUACGUUGAACUCCUGGCCACGUCCCAACCUGUUGUCUCCGUAUUCAGUCGCUAGCUGAACAGUUGUGUUUGUUGUAAAAGUAUUGUAUUUCUGCUCAGUGUUGGUGUAUAGACUACUGCCUGAAUCUGCUUUGUGAAAGGCAGCUUUUCCUACAAAUAAAAUCAUUUCUGAUCCUAAA